UACGAAGGGGGCUAGCGUUGCUCGGAAUUACUGGGCGUAAAGCGCACGUAGGCGGCUUCUUAAGUCGGUGGUGAAAUCCUGGAGCUCAACUCCAGAACUGCCUUCGAUACUGGGAGCUCGAGUCCGGGAGAGGUGAGUGGAACUGCGAGUGUAGAGGUGAAAUUCGUAGAAUAUUCGCAAGAACACCAGUGGCGAAGGCGGCUCACUGGCCCGGUACUGACGCUGAGGUGCGAAAGCGUGGGGAGCAAACAGGG
rnacentral:rRNA from 1 species